UUACGGCCGUAUCACGUUGAAAACGUCGGUUCCCGUGUGAUCAGCGAAGUUAAGCAACGUGGAGCCUGGUUAGUGCCUAGAUGGGUCACCGCUUGGGAAUGCCAGGU